CCUCGGGUGGAAGCAGUGGGGAAGAGUGGGCAAGGGGCGAAAGCCGGACCCAGCAACGGCGCGUGAAGGAAGAAGGGUUUCGGGUUGUAAACUUCUUUUGUCAGGGAAGAGUAGAAGACGGUACCUGACGAAUAAGCCACGGCUAACUACGUGCCAGCAGCCGCGGUAAUACGUAGGUGGCAAGCGUUGUCCGGAUUUACUGGGUGUAAAGGGCGUGUAGCCGGGUUGACAAGUCAGAUGUGAAAUCCUGCGGCUUAACCGCAGAACUGCAUUUGAAACUGUUGAUCUUGAGUACUGGAGAGGCAGACGGAAUUCCUAGUGUAGCGGUGAAAUGCGUAGAUAUUAGGAGGAACACCAGUGGCGAAGGCGGUCUGCUGGACAGCAACUGACGGUGAGGCGCGAAAGCGUGGGGAGCAAACAGGAUUAGAUACCCCUGUAGUC
rnacentral:rRNA from 1 species